rnacentral:lncRNA from 1 species
CAAUGGACACUUCAGCAACUGCGAUUGAGUGGACACUAUCCGAACUCAUCAAGCAUCCACGGGUGAUAAAGAAAGUCCAAAAAGAAUUAGAAAAUGUGGUAGGCAUGGAGAGGCUGGUGGAAGAAUCAGACUUGGAGAAACUGGAGUACCUAGACAUGGUUGUGAAAGAAAGCUUUAGGCUCCAUCCAGUGGCACCAUUGCUGGUCCCGCACGCGUCUGUGGAGGACUGCACAGUUAAUGGCUUUCACAUACCCAAGAAUUCACGCGUCUUCAUAAAUGCAUGGGCAAUUGGGCGGGACCCAAAUAUUUGGACUGAUGCAGAGAAAUUCAUUCCAGAGAGAUUUG